CCUACGGGAGGCAGCAGUAAGGAAUAUUGGACAAUGGACGCAAGUCUGAUCCAGCCAUGCCGCGUGAAGGAUUAAGGCCCUCUGGGUUGUAAACUUCUUUUAUAGGGGACGAAAAAAGGGCUUUCUAGCUCGUCUGACGGUACCCUAUGAAUAAGCACCGGCUAACUCCGUGCCAGCAGCCGCGGUAAUACGGAGGGUGCAAGCGUUAUCCGGAUUCACUGGGUUUAAAGGGUGCGUAGGCGGGCAGUUAAGUCAGUGGUGAAAUCUUCGAGCUCAACUCGGAAACUGCCAUUGAUACUAUCUGUCUUGAAUACUGUGGAGGUGAGCGGAAUAUGUCAUGUAGCGGUGAAAUGCUUAGAUAUGACAUAGAACACCGAUUGCGAAGGCAGCUCGCUACACAAAUAUUGACGCUGAGGCACGAAAGCGUGGGGAUCAAACAGGAUUAGAUACCCUGGUAGUCCACGCCCUAAACUAUGGAUACUCGACAUUUGCGAUACACAGUAAGUGUCUGAGCGAAAGCAUUAAGUAUCCCACCUGGGAAGUACGACCGCAAGGUUGAAACUCAAAUGAAUUGAGG
rnacentral:rRNA from 1 species